rnacentral:rRNA from 1 species
AUUGAACGCUGGCGGUAUGCUUUACACAUGCAAGUCGAACGGCAGCAGACUUUCGGGUUGCUCUGAGUGGCGGAGAGUGGAGUACUGCAUCGGAACACACCCGGAGGUACGGGAUCAUGCGGCAUAACGUAGGGUAAUUUACGCUGUUACCUCAGGCUACCUGCGGGGGAAAGCACAGCAAUUUCUGACCUUGCGCCAUUGGAUGGGCCGAUGUCGGAUUAGCUAGUUGGCGGGGUAAAGGCCUACCAAGGCGACGAUCCGUAGCUGGUCUGAGAGGAUGACCAGCCACACUGGGACUGAGACACGGCCCAGACUCCUACGGGAGGCAGCAGUGGGGAAUAUUGGACAAUGGGCGCAAGCCUGAUCCAGCAAUACCGCGUGCGUGAAGAAGGCCUUCGGGUUGUAAACCGCUUUUGGCGGGAACGAAACGGAGUCGGCUAAUACCGCGCGCUAAUGACGGUACCUGCAGAAUAAGCACCGGCUAACUUCGUG